CCGAUAAACAUGAAACAACGUUCACAAGAAACGCAGAAUCAUCAUCUCAUCCCAAGAGUCUCCAAUGGAGAUCCAACAAACGAUGAGGAAGAUAAAACCUAGAAGACUCUAGAAAGCUAACAAGUUCAGAUAAUUUUGCAUAAUCAGAAACGAUUAGCUAACAGAUGCUCUUAUAGAGUUAACAAACAAUGUUAACAAACAGUGUUAACCGAUUUGUUCCCUUUCCGUGACGUUGACAAUCUUAUUCUGUCAACUCCAGCUGCCUUUGUCUCACGUGCUUUUCUUCUUCUUCUUAUCUUGACCACACGUGCAGACUCCCAUUAUACUAUAUCAUGAUUAUAUAUAAUCGAGCAAUUAGUGAAGUAGGUGAGAAUUUUGGUGAAUCCUAGUUACCCGUAUCAUCUUCGAUUAUUUCAUGGGUAAGAGAUUUCGUUUUCGUCUUCUUUUUCAUUAAGUUUCGUGAGAUAAUCCCCAAGCAAGUAUAGAUCACUCAAGUAAUUUAAAUUGUAACAUGAAUUUUCCUUAUAAGAUGUGCUUUGGUUUUUGGCGAGUCUGGUCCUUCUUAUUGACGAUUCUGAAGUCCAUGCAAAACUGAAAUUUGUUUCAUUAAUUAUUGUGCUCUUUGUCCACUUGUUAAUUUCGUAGCUGCAUUGCCAUUUUGAAUUAUCAUUUGUAUCUAGUUUGGUUAUGUGAUCAACAAUUACUAAUUUAUUGUUCAUUUUGUUGGAGCUGUUGAGCACUCGGUAAUGCAGAAAAUUAUAUGAGGCUUCUGAGACCUCACUCUCUGGGUACUAUGAACUAAUCAUCUUCAAUGUUUUCAAAGUCGUCAUCCCUACAAAAAAAAAGCAUCAGUAUCUCAGGAACUGCAGGAUAAUUUUUUUGGAAACAUCUUAAAGAAGGAUAUGGAAAGAUGCUCUCCAUACGAUCCUAAAAUUACCAAGGUCAAAAGGACUUGAGCUCGGAAACAUGUGUGUGAAACCAUCGAUGGCCGCCAUGACUUAUUCUAAGGUUUGCAAGAAAGUGACUGUUUGGAUAUACAGCUAAUAUAAGUCAGAUCCGAAUGAGAUAGUCCCAAACAGUUAGGAUCCGCGUCCCAUCUAUGAUUUGAUUUAUUUUGUUGCCCCUAAAUUUUUUUUUUCUUCUUCCUUGUUUUCUUCCGUAGG